GCUCAAAAAUCCGUUCUGAUUUUUGUGAACAAAAAAUCAUGGCAACUGGAACAGUCCGUCAACUUGGUUUCGUGAUAUAAAUCAUAUUUUCGUGAUUUAUUGCAACUCCUUUCUGCGAACAUGUUCUCGAAUCUAGGAUCAAAAGAUCAUAUCUGUUUCCUGUCAUCAACAAACUCGUUACAUUUCGGAAUGAUAGAACAGAGUUCUUGUUUUCGUGAUAAUGAAAUUCCGUGCGCGUGAUUUUGUGCUCGAUAACGGGAACAAAUUCCACGACUAUUUGGAGCUGUCACUUUCUGUAACGCAUCGAUGAAGAAAAAUAAAAAAAAAAUAAACGGAUCAUCAUCAAACAAGACGUGGUGUGCAACCUUCUCAAAUAGGAAAUACUAGCUCCUAUGCACGUCGAAAUGUUCUGGCAGACUCAUCAGAUUGCAGAAGAGACGAUUGUCAUCUGUGCUGAAAUCACCUUCAAACAACCGCAAGCAUUGACCUGGUUAAUGCAGUGAAAAUGCUGAAAAUUCUAUUUCCUGUACGUGGGAAUGUGCCAGUGAUCAGCGACCUCGUUUUCCUCGUGAAAAUCCAGCCAGGACUCAGGAGGAGCAGCCUCCUCAUUUUCUAUUCCGACUCCCGGAGACCGAUGGUGCAUAUCUUGUGAUGCUUGGCUGGCGGUUUCGCAAAUUUUCUACCAGAUGAAGCUGGAACGGAACGCUUCAGGCGAUCGAGGGAUUAGCAUAGUCUCGGAAUCGAUUCUACCACUACGAUAAUCAUUUGCCGUCUUCCAAAAUGACAACAGUGAUUCAUAGUGAUAAAUAAAACAUGAUUGUGAACAUAGACCCACCAUACAAUUUGUUUAAAGAAUAGAGAUUAAAGUGAUCUUUUAAUAAAAUGUCUCUGGAAUCGAGCAA